CUUCUCUCUCCCUUCACCUGCCGCGAUCCCUCUCCCUCUCUGCUUUCCACCACUAUCUCCUCCGGUCCACCUUAACUGGAGCUCCGCCCCCGGCCCCCGGCCAGCCCUCUGCUGCUGUCCAGCUCCACCCCCUGCACGCCACCGCCCUGCCCGCCCAUUGGCCUGAGCACCCGCCUAUCCCAUUUGGGACGCGCCUAGGGUUCAUCCAGGGAGGGGGUGGAGCUUGGGGCUGGCCUGGAACCAGAAGGGGAGGGAGGCCGGAGACAGUGUCCGCAGUGGCCAGGGAAUGGAGCAGCCCCCUCAGGGACUUCCUCUCCUUCACGCGGGGCUUCUGUGGGGUCAGCACCUGGGGAAGGAAGGGGGUGAGAGGUUGCGGAGAGGCUGCAUGGGGAUGAAGACCUAGGACUCGGAAAGAGUGGGGUCCCGCUAGGGGCUUUAAUCAGGUCAGGGCCCCGGGAGGGACGGGGAGAAGGCCACUGGACGUUCUGCUGCGGCCCCUGGGCCCAUCCCCCGCUCCGCCAGAGGGAGCGGGGGAGUUGAGGCUGCUGGCACUCGGUGUCCCUCCCCACGCGUGACGGCGCCCCGCGGGGAGGGAACAGUGCCCGGGGCAAGGAGCCUCUGCGCUCUAGCCUGUGCGCGCUGCUGCCUUGGCAUUUUCAGAGGGGAGGGACCGAGUCGGGGGAGGGGGAGGUGCGCUCUCUCUCUCCCGGGCUCCGGCUCUUCGCCUUCCUCCCGCUCGGUCUUUUAGAAACUGAGACCCCCAUAGUGGAGGGGAUGCCUUGACGCAGUUUCACUCAGACACCCAGGUGGCGGUAGAGGCCUGUGUGUCUUAGGGUGCCUGCCUGUGCCGACGGAGAAAGGUAGCCUCUUAGGGACGCUUCCAACUGGGCCGGCGGUGCUACGUACCCCAACAGGGCCCUCCCACUGGCUUCAAACGGAAUCAAAUCCCGCUCUUUAGGGCCAGGGUCGGCUUCUCAGCAGCGGGCCAGGCCCAACCGGGUCGGACUUGAUCUCCCUUCCCAGCCCCCUCCGCAGGGGGCCUCCCUCCCUUUCCAGCAGGUGGCUCCGCAGGACACCAGCUCAACCUGUUGGACCACAAUGGGCGGCGCCAGGGGGGCCCUGGCCCUCACCCGGGCUGACCCGGGAUCCCCGAACAAGGGGAGGGGCGGAGUCCGUCCUUCCCUCCCUCUUUCUCCCUCUGCCCCUGACGUGACUCAGCCUCGAGGCCGCUGCUCUGCCCCUCAGCCAGGGCCGGAAAGUGUGAGGCGCCCCGGAGGGCCGAGGCCAAACCAAACAGCCCCCCAUCCCAGACAUUAUCUCACUGGAGAGUUAGGGGGGCAACAGGGACCAGUGGCCCGCAGGCAUGGAGCUCUGGCUCUCAAGCAAUCCGUUCCGGGUUUUCCUAUCAUUUCUGUCGUGUCGUGCGCCCCCCCCCCUCCGGCUGCCCUGGGUCAAGUCUGGUCUUUGCUCCAGGUUUUCUUAGCGACCUCACGGGACUGUUUCUAGUCGGGAGGAUUCCGAGCAAGAUGUGUCUGGGCUGGGUUUUUUCCCCUUCCUAGCUGUCAGGGUCUCGCUGACCAGGGAAUAAUGGGCCGGGCCAGGGGAAACCGCUUUCACGAGAAGGGUACAAGACCUAGGGAAAGGAUUUGGGGAAGGGUAGGGAAGUGGCUCAGGUCUCCAGAAGGGCGAGGGUCUUGUCACUAGCUUCUGGGAACCCAGACGCGAACAUCUCUGCUGUCCUCCUGCCCUGCCACUGGAGUUGCAUCUGACUGGACACAACCCGGAUCUUUCUGCGGCUGGACUGCCACUCUCCAGCGGUCCUGGGAAAUCUGCUAGCUCCUCGGUGGUUCUUUUCCAUGGUUUUCUUUUUCCUGUGGCACAAAUAGUUCCCUUUCAUGUUGGUGGGGGCCACCGACUUGAAAUUCCUGUCUCCUCCCCAACUUGGGGUCCUAACCGCCAAACCAGAGAUAGAAAGGGUCGAGAAGAGCCCGCCCCCUUUUAUGGAGCCUGGUCCUCAUCGCAAUCUCCUGUACACCUGAACUGGGACUGAGGACAAGUGUGGGCCAGCACGGUCUCCUGGUGAACGCCCCCCCCCCGUCCUCACUCUCAGAUUCAAGUCUUCAAGCAACUUUCUAGAUUCUAGACUUUAAUGUGUGAGGAAAGUAGGUGAGUAGAUACCCCGAGAGUGAGGUGUUUGUCCUGACAAGGAGAAAAAGCCCUAGCAAGAAGGACUUUAUACCUAAGGCUGGGGACAGCGACUCUGAGUGGCGGCGGGGUUACGAGACUGGCCCAAGUUCACUGAAGAGUGGUUGCUGAGCAGUUACCAGGCUUGCAGAGUCCUGGAGGAAGGGUGCAGCUGGCGGCUGAAGGCGAAGCUCUUCUUGGCAGGGUCCUACCGUUCCAAAUCGGAUGUAAUCUACAGAAGAGCUCUUCUCGCUGUUGACACUUGAAGGCCACUUCUAGUUUAUUGGUCUGGCCUGUUCCAUUUCAACCCCAACUAUCCCCUACCACUUAUGACUGCUAGAGGGCCCCAAGGAGCCCAGGGGUAAGCGGUAACUCCCCUCUCUGUCUUGGUAUCUUUCUUGCUUCCCUGGCAAAAACUCAUGAAGCAAUUUUGUGAGUGUUCAACCUGAGCAGCUCUUUUUGGGAGAAGUUGCCACAUGCCCUUUUCCCUUCUAGAAGAAUGGGGACGUUGUGGUCAGGAAAACUAUUCCAGUUUGGAUGAAUUAAACAACAAGGAGCAAAGGACACAGUGAGCCUAGAGCUUGGAUGGGAAACAGGUGCAGCUUAGGAGGGGCGCCUCCUCACCAAGGCUCUGCCUCCUAGGGCAAUUAAACCGUUUCUAUCAGAAGAGGGAGGCAGGUUAACAGGAGCCGUAGUUUUAAUUCUUUUCUUUUUUAUUUAGACAGAAGUCUUUAUAUUGCCCAUGCUGUACUCCAGCUCCUAGGAUCAAACAAUCAGCCCCAGAGCCAGCCUCCAGAAUAUCUAGGGGGGAAUAGAUGUGUGCUACCAGCCUGGCAAGCCCUAAAGAGGACCUGGGUUCCAUUCCCAGAACCCACACAGUAACCCACAAUCCAUCUGUAACUCCUGCCCUGAGGAUCCAACACUCUUCUGACCAAGGCUCCUAUGAGGUACAUACCAUACCAAACACUCCCUAGGCUAGUUCCUGAGCUCAGAUGAGGCACCGUCACUCCCCCUCCUCCGACUGCUAGGAUGGUUACCAUGCCAGCUCAUAUGAUUUCUGGUAAAUGUCCCCUGCACAGCUGGACUCUGACUUCCCUGUGGUGGGGGAUGGUUGACUACACAGAUGCUCAGUAAAUAUGGUGAGGGAUGGCACUGCUUGGGCACCCAGCUACCCUCCUUCCAAGCCCCACCUAUGCACCCUUUCUGAGCCUGAGGAGGUUUUGAGUAGCUGCUUCUGGGGUGUAAGCUCCCAGGGGAAGGCUUACCUCUGCACGGCAGCAUGGAAGAGGUGUAGGAGGGCAGUGCAGUCCUUGCCACCAUUGAAGCCUACACAGAGCUUGGCGAGGCAGUACUGAUCAAGGGCAGUCUCAAUCGUCUGUAGGGCACUUGCUACCUUUUUCCCCAGACAAGAUCCUGCCACACAGGCAGGGAAGAGAAUGUCAACUAGGUAUGUAUGGCUGUCGCUAUCUUCCCAGUGUUCUGGGGUUAAAUCCACUUUCAGGCUGUCCCACACUAUCUGUCUCCCCACCUGCUACUCAGCCCCACCUCACAUAGGGUUGUGGUCUCUCCUCUGGGGCAGGGACCGAGGGGUGGGAGUAUGGGGUGCUUGGGUUGCCUUCCAUCCUCUGCAGCUCCAUCUCCUUCCUUCCAGUCAUCUCCAGGUCCAACCAAAUCCUCAUCGCUUGUUGUCAUUUGUUCAGAGAACCUUUCUCUGACCCCAGAUCAAAGCUGCUAUCUCGGGGUGAAAUCCACUUCAGACUCACAUCUCAUCUAUGAUCACCUGUCUAGCAGCUAACCCAUCCCUUCUCAAGGUAGAGCACACACAUUCUGACAAGCGAUAACAACCCCAACCCCAGCACAGUGCUGCCGAGUGGAGGUCAUCAGUAGUUACUGGAAGAAUGAACGGCUCAAUAGCGAAUCUCUUGUACUUUUCUUGCAUCUGUGGGGAGCCCUCUGCAGCAGUACCAGAUCUAGAGAACCCAGACUCUGCCCCACAUUGCCUUCCCCAAGGAGACUCCUACCUGACUGAGCGAGUUUGUAUACAGCCUCACCAGCAUGCUCAACAGCAUUGGGCAGGUAGGGGACCAAUGAUCCCUGAGGCAGGUGAGCAGUCAGAUAGGCCAGACAUUCCUCCAAGGGCUCUUUUUCCUCAGAGUCUAGAAUCAGCUUCACCUGAUAGUAAUUGCUGCCCCAAUCAGGGUAGGAACCCAGGCUAAGCCUACGCCCAAAGUGGGCCUGGGCCUCAGUUAGGAUGGAGGCAAUAGAGCUCUCAGGAGCAGCCACAUACAAUUCCUUCACGUGGAACUGCACGGCUGUGUUUUGGAACAGUCCUUUCAAUCCCUCCAUCGCUCGACGCAGCAGCUCCGGAAUUCCUGGGAAGAGGUAGACAUUUCGGACAGAGACCAGCGGGAACCUGAAAGGCUGGCCAGUUCGAGGAUCUGUGCCAUAAUGCAGGCGAGCUGAGGAGGGCACCAGCGACAGCUUCUCCCAACCCACCUCUCCUAGGGUUUUGAUGGCGGUUUGGAGCUCAGGGUGUGGUUUGAGCUCCUCCCCAAAGGCCUGGGCUACUGCCUCAAAUGUUACAUCAUCAUGAGUGGGGCCGAUGCCCCCCGCAGUGAGAACGUGAGUGAAGCGGUUUGAGAACGAGGUGACCUCAGCUGCAAUGGUGGCUACCUCAUCAGGUACGACAGAGACUCGGCAAACCUGGACCCCCAGGGAGCGCAGUGUCCGGCAGAGAAAGGUACCUCCUUAGGCUGCCAAGGAGCCUGGAAUGGGAAUACCCAUCCGAAUGGAGAGAGGGGAUCGAUCCUCCUUGAGGUUGCUUUGCUACCCACUCAUUCUGACCUCACUUGCAUUUAUGGAUUUGGUUGUCAAGUCUGCACUUUGAUCUUGACCUCACCUAUAUUUAUAGACUCAAUCAUUAAUUCAGUGUGGCUUCACAGUUUGACUUAAUCACCAAACCCAGCAGCUUCAAUUUUAGUCCCUGGCUCCAAGUGCCUAUUUUGCAGUCUCACCACAUGCCUGCUUAUUGUCAUAUUGCCCAGUGGCACUCCAGACCUGUCCAUGGUCAGUUAGGCCUUUUAUUUUGUUAGCUCCCCUUCUGAAAAGUCUCAGCAUCUUCUCUUCCAGCCUCCUGCCACUAUGCUCUGCUCCCUGUCUUCUAUAAUGUGUCACCAUGAUCACUGAAUCACGUUGUGCUCAAAAACAUGUGUUCUGUGUCCAACUGCAUACAGGAUAAAGUUCAGAUUUUUUGCAAUCAUUGAAGGUUGGCUGGCUAUGUUGUGGUCUUUGUUCUUUAUAGAGGGAUGAGUAAUUAAGAAUUUGUGUUGGAACCUGUCUGAAAAUAAAAUAAAAUGUUUGUGUUCUAGA